GCUCAGCACCAGGGCGGAAGGAAGACGAGGCGAGGCAAGCGCCAAGCUUCCAUCCGGACUUCAAGGCCAGUGGCUGGGUCUGGUUUUCUCAACACGGCCUCCUAGUCUCCUUCCCGCUUGGGCAUCUGUUUUUCUUAUAUAGACCCUGAAGCCGCCCGUGAUGUUCUGUAAGCAGGUUCCGCUUCAGAAUCAGAGGUACUUAAGAGGGAACCUGGAUGCUAGACCUGCCCUUGCUGCUGGCCUCAGUUUCUUUACCUGUAAAACAGGGAUUUUGGAACUGUUAAAUUAAAUCAAACUUAAAAGAAUUACAACUUAAAGCUGCUGGAACUUUACAUGAUCCCGAGCCUUGAGAGGAAUGUGGCUAUGCAGCCUGAGUCAUGUGGCAUGCAGAUGCAACCUCUGCCUUUUUCCGCUGUAAAUAAUUAAGAAGACCAAGUAGCAUCCAAGGUAACAGAAUUUUGGAGAAAUUCCAAAUUGCAUGGUGGUGUUGAAAGCUUUCCCACUUCAGGAGCUGCUGCAGGAAGUCUCUAUUUGGCUGCCAGAAAAGAACACCUAAAAGCUGAGUCACUCAACAGAGUCACCUAAGCUGAAGAUUCCCUUGAGAACAAGUACUGUCCUGUGGUUUCAUGGCCUUUCUUCCAUUUGUGGUUCUUGCCAAGCGGAAUUUAAAUGACAUCUUAUCAAGAUGGAUAAACCCUAGUUUCCCAGUGCUGGAAUAUAGAAAAUGGAUGGACAAGUAAAUCCCACUCAGCACCCAUAGCCCAGGCAUGGGGACCUCAACACAUUUGAGCCGCAGAGAUCACCUUUCAUUGUGAAUAGCUCUGAGAUGAUACUUCUGGUUGAAUGUCUUUUUGUCACUUCCGGCUGGAUCUACCAUGAAAGAUUUCUGAAUCCAGGAAGAGAGAUUGACUGGGCAACAUGUUAUUCAGACAGGGUCUCACUCUGUCGCCCAGGCUGGAGUGCAGUGGCAUGAUCUUGGCUCACUGUAGUGUAGACUUCCCAGCCUCAAGGGAUCCUCCCACCCCAGACUCCCAAGUAGCUGGAAUUACAGGUAUGCACC
rnacentral:lncRNA from 1 species